rnacentral:lncRNA from 1 species
GGGAUGUUUGAGGUUCACACGCAUCAAGCAUUUCACCAACCCCAUUUAGCUGCUCUGGUGCAGCAGGGAAUAGGUGGAAACUUGGAUUAAUUAGCACUGUGACUUGCCAAGUGAGAUAAAAGCAAGAGAGUUAAGGAUGACUGCAUGGGAGUGACUGUAAUGACAGUGGAAUUUAAACUAGAUAAGGAGCAAAAAGGAAACGAAGAAGACGAAAGUGAGUGCAAAGCAAGUAGAAUCACAGGAAUGGUCUUUUCAGUAGGUUUUGAGGAUUUCUGAAGUCCGAGACAUAAAGGGAAUGUGCAGGAAGGAAAGGAGAUGGUCAUAAACGAAGUAAAGGAAAUUGAAAUAAGAGGGCUGUGUUUUUUAGUAAUGGCAAAUUAGGGUAGUUGAGACAGGUGGAAGACAAAAUCUUUUUUUUUUUCCUUUUUUUGGAGACGGAGUCUCAUUUUGUCAUCCAAGCUGGAGUGCAGAGGCGUGAUCUAGGCUCACUGCAACCUCUCGGAUUCAAGGGAUUUUCCUGUCUCAGCCUCUCAGAAGAGAACAUCUUCAUAGGAGAGGAGCUCUAGGAACUGAGAAUGCAGGAAAUUGGAAGAAAUAUACAUUAAUAGCCAAGAAUUUAGACAGGACUGGGGAGCCAGGAACAAACAUUUGAGAUGUUGGGCUUUUAAUGGAGUUGCCACGGAUGACAGCAUCAUGAGAAAUGAGGUUUAAAAAUGGAGGAUUGUUCGAGGAGGGAGGAGGGCUGAUCUGAAAGCCACAAGGAGGACAAAUGGAACACCUACCCCCACUACAGGCUGGAAGAAGUUUCUCUUGAAGAAGGAACAUUUAAGCUGAAACCCUAAGGAGCCACCCAAGAAGACUUAAGUUGAGAAAGGGGAAAGCAAGCAAAAUAUCAGAAGACUGAGAAUGGGGCCAGAAGUAAGGCGAAGAGUGAGGCAGCAGAAGACUAGCAGAACUUUGGUGAUCAAGAAGAAAUGAAAGUCUCCCCCUCCUAGGGACUUGAUCUCCUCCACAGAAGGACCUUUCAUGAAAUAAAAUUCUCCAUUUCCCAGAGACCUCUAGAAAAGAACUCUCUACCUCUUCAUGGGAAUAUACUUUUGCUGCAAGAAAAUAAAAUGUUUUCUCUUUAUCUCUUCAUGGCAGACCUAAGUGUGAGAAAAAGGUUGCUGGUGAUUUACCACACCACAGCCUGAGUACACCCAGGCACGCAUCUUUAAAACAUGCCCAAAGAUAUCUCUGUGAAAUGUAUUCAGUAGUGGAUUCCAGUAUUCACAGCCUUCAUUUACACAGUUCACUUUAUUUAAUUUGUACUUACUGGUAAUAUUAAGUAAUCAGAGUUCAUAUCCUUGGGAAAAUUCUCCCCUGAAGGCCAAUUCAUUCGUAAUAAAAACCACAUUUUGAGCAGUGAGUGAAUCCAGCUGGUUGCACUAGUAAGCCAUUUUCAUUUUUUAUAGCACAUUUCAGCUUUCCAAGUAUUGCAUAUUUGUAUGGGAGAAAUGUUUUCUGAAGUCAAGCUUAAUGAAACAUGAAGUCAAUGAUAUAUGCAAACAUCUAUUUAUUCCUCUGCUGUCUGGGAAGUUUUGAUCAAGAAAACACUUCUGCUCAUUAGAGAAUUGACCAGAUGCAGUGCUAUUAACAUUUCUGUGAUCAAAUAAAGCUCACCCAGAUGAAAGAAGAAUUGCAACACUAACAGCCUGGAAGCACUCAACCGUGGAGAUAUUACCCCCAAAAGUGAAGCAUGCUAAGAUACAAAACAAACUGACUUCAAGCACAUCUGAUUAACAUGGCCAUUGUUAACUUUCCCACUACUUGGGCAGACUUUAAACCUGCUUAUGGAUAAACAGUCAUAUGAUGCUGACAGUCACCAUGAAAGAAGGCUGACUACCCUGA